rnacentral:rRNA from 1 species
UACAGAGGUCUCAAGCGUUGUUCGGAUUCAUUGGGCGUAAAGGGUGCGCAGGUGGUCGGGUAAGUCUGACGUGAAAUCCCGCAGCUUAACUGCGGAAUGGCAUUGGAUACUAUUCGGCUAGAGGGUUGGAGGGGGGACUGGAAUUCUCGGUGUAGCAGUGAAAUGCGUAGAUAUCGAGAGGAACACCAGUGGCGAAGGCGAGUCCCUGGACAACUCCUGACGCUGAGGCACGAAAGCUAGGGGGAGCAAACAGG